rnacentral:rRNA from 1 species
AUUGAACGCUGGCGGCAGGCCUAACACAUGCAAGUCGAGCGAGCGGCGGACGGGUGAGUAAUGUAUGGGGACUGCCCGAUAGAGGGGGAUAACUACUGGAAACGGUGGCUAAUACCGCAUACUAUCGGAUAACCCAUAUGGGAUUAGCUAGUAGGUGGGGUAAAGGCUCACCUAGGCGACGAUCUCUAGCUGGUCUGAGAGGAUGAUAAGCCACACUGGGACGGAGACACGGCCCAGACUCCGACGGAUGCAGCAGUGGGAACUAUUGCACAAUGGGCACAAGCCUGAUGCAGCCAUGCCGCGUGAAUGAAGAAGGCCGUAGAGUUGUAAAGCACUUUCAGCGGGGAGGCGUUACCCGCAGAAAAAGCACCGGCUAACUCCGUGCCAGCAGCCGCGGUAAUAC